CUGGAAGCUCCAUCACCACACAGGUGCCACCAUGCCUGGAGCUUUGUGGGACUUUUAGCACCAGGUUCCCUUCCAUGGGAAACAGAGUGACAUCUACUUGCUCCUACUGCAGAGACAGAAGACAAUCCUGCUGAAAGAAUGGACUUUUAGCUACCAGCAAACAACAGCACACAUACAACAUAUACCUGAAGAAAGCAACUUGGAUAAAGGAAGCACUACUCAUUUGCAUUUUCAUAAUUUUAGUCUGGAGCUUGCACUCCUAUCUUGGAAAGGAAAUCUCUUUCAUUAAAGAAAACUGGUUAUGCCAAAUGCACAAAAAUAACAGUGGGAGGCACUGGCGUGGGGAUGGGUGGAGGAAGGUCACUGCAUGACUCAGAAGCAUGGCUUCCGUAAUUCAUAUUUUAA
rnacentral:lncRNA from 1 species